rnacentral:sRNA from 1 species
GUUGUUCCAUUUGCUGUAACUAAAUAGCAAACAGAUCUAACUGAUUAUAAUGUUGAUUAUCUUAAUUUAUAUUACAUUUUAAAACUACCAAAGAUAUUUCCGUACAAUGGCUUCAAUAUAGAAUUUUACAUAAAAUUCUUCAAGUUUGAUACUACCUUAAAAAAUCAGUGUCAAAACUUCUGACAGAUGUGGGUCUGUAAAAAUAAUGUGAAUACAAUAAUACAUGUUUUGAUUUCUUGUGAGUAAAUGCAUACCCUGUGGGGUGAACUUAGUUUAUAUCUUUACAGAGAGACCAAUAUUAUACUUGGCCAACUUCCAUUGUCGUUUCAUCACAAAGUCGUUAAUUUUAUAAUUCUUUAUCUGAAACAAUAUGUAUUUUGUUGUCUUAUGUCAAAGAAGAUUCCAUGCUUGAUAGGUUUCCUUUGUCAUUUAAAACUAAAAUACAAUAAGAAAGAUAUGCUGCAAUACAAACUACAAAAGGUAUCUUUGAUGCUGACAUCUGAUUUAUUUUCAAUAUGAUUAUUUUUUCUAUUCUCUUUUGUUACUUAAACUUUCUUUUUUUCAUGUAGGCAAGUAACCACUAAAUAAUACAUUUAGGUGGGGGGGGGGGGGGUCAUAAGUAUGGGUGUGUAUGUGUGUAUGUGACUGAAUGUCUGUUCUUUGAAAAAAGAAAUAAAUUAU